rnacentral:rRNA from 1 species
UACGGGGGGAGCAAGCGUUGUUCGGAUUUACUGGGCGUAAAGGGCGCGUAGGCGGCCACUGCAAGUCGGUUGUGAAAUCCCCGGGCUUAACCCGGAAAGGUCAAUCGAUACUGCAGGGCUAGAGUGCAGAAGGGGCAACUGGAAUUCUCGGUGUAGCGGUGAAAUGCGUAGAUAUCGAGAGGAACACCUGCGGCGAAGGCGGGUUGCUGGGCUGACACUGACGCUGAAGCGCGAAAGCUAGGGGAGCGAACGGG